rnacentral:rRNA from 2 species
CCAGGUCUUGACAUCCUAAAACAAUCCUAGAGAUAGGACUUUCCCCUUCGGGGGACAGAGUGACAGGUGGUGCAUGGUUGUCGUCAGCUCGUGUCGUGAGAUGUUGGGUUAAGUCCCGCAACGAGCGCAACCCUUGAUCUUAGUUGCCAGCAUUCAGUUGGGCACUCUAAGGUGACUGCCGGUGACAAACCGGAGGAAGGUGGGGAUGACGUCAAAUCAUCAUGCCCCUUAUGACCUGGGCUACACACGUGCUACAAUGGAUGGUACAAAGGGCUGCAAGACCGCGAGGUUUAGCCAAUCCCAUAAAACCAUUCUCAGUUCGGAUUGUAGGCUGCAACUCGCCUACAUGAAGCCGGAAUCGCUAGUAAUCGCGGAUCAGCAUGCCGCGGUGAAUACGUUCCCGGGCCUUGUACACACCGCCCGUCACACCACGAGAGUUU